GAUGAACGCUGGCGGCGUGCUUAACACAUGCAAGUCGAACGAUGAAGCCCAGCUUGCUGGGUGGAUUAGUGGCGAACGGGUGAGUAACACGUGAGUAACCUGCCCUUAACUCUGGGAUAAGCCUGGGAAACUGGGUCUAAUACCGGAUAGGAGCGUCCACCGCAUGGUGGGUGUUGGAAAGAUUUAUCGGUUUUGGAUGGACUCGCGGCCUAUCAGCUUGUUGGUGAGGUAAUGGCUCACCAAGGCGACGACGGGUAGCCGGCCUGAGAGGGUGACCGACCACACUGGGACUGAGACACGGCCCAGACUCCUACGGGAGGCAGCAGUGGGGAAUAUUGCACAAUGGGCGCAAGCCUGAUGCAGCGACGCCGCGUGAGGGAUGACGGCCUUCGGGUUGUAAACCUCUUUCAGUAGGGAAGAAGCGAAAGUGACGGUACCUGCAGAAGAAGCACCGGCUAACUACGUG
rnacentral:rRNA from 1 species